GAGACGUUGCUGAAUUCUGUUAAGUUACUUAUCUAUUCUCUGUUCUCUUGCAGAUUAUAAAGUGAAAGAUGAAGAAGUUUUAAGAGAACGAAAUAGAUUAGGGAAAUCAGAAGAAAGCGUGAACUUUGAACCUACCAUUUCAAAUUCAUCUACUAAGGGGUCUUCGACAAAGGAUAAGGUGACUGAAGAACUGAUUACUAAUACUGAGAUAGAAGGUCAGGAAGUGCGGGUAUUCCUCCCAGCUUUCCCCAAAAAGGAGAUUUAAAAGGAGCUUUGGAAGAAAAAGGUAGUUCAAGAAAACAAGAAAAUGAAGUUGCUGGUCCAGUGAAUUCUGCAGACAGCCCUGUAAAAAAUUUGACAUCUGACACAAAAGAUCAUGGUUGUAAAGGUAGAUGGGUCACAGAUGAUAGUAGGCCUCUAUAUUCUGGAUUUGGCUGCAAGCAAUGGUUGUCAUCCAUGUGGGCAUGCCGCUUGACACAGCGUAUGGAUUUUGAAUACGAGAAACUACGUUGGAGGCCAAGAGAAAGAGUUUACAGGUGCUAACUUCCUGAAAAGGAUGGAAAACAAAACUCUGGCUUUUAUUGGGGAUUCCCUCGCUAGACAGCAAUUUCAGUCACUUAUGUGUAUGAUUACUGGUGGUGCAGACAGACCUGAUGUUCUACAAGAUGAAUCCAGUGAUUCUACUGCAGCAAGGGCAGUAAAAGGAACAGCUGUAAAGCUUUUGGAUAUCACAGCUGUAUAUAUCUCGAUACAGCAUCAAAGCAACACCUGGGAUGCAGGAUUGCUAGCAUUGGUGCUUGCCUGGUGUUCCUGAUACAUGGAAUGAAAUUCUUUUUGCUCAACUUUAAUAUUGCAAGACAGGCAAGGGACACUGCUAGAACAUUGUUCUCGCCCAUCUGAGCAAUCAGGGUCGCCAAUUGGCGCAAAAUACUACAUGAAUAGAACAAUGUCUGGUGGAUUGCCUAUUGGAGCUUCACAGAUUGGAUUCAGCUCUGAUUCAUGGGAAAUGCUGAACGUGCAGUUGCAUUUGCUUAUCCACCAUGUUUUAGGAGUACAUGACUUAUACAUUAUUCUUAGAAUUUGUAGAUUGGUAAUAUAAAACUGCCAUUUGUUAGAGACUAGAUUCUUUGUGGGGUUGGGAUACAGGAGAGACUUGACCCUUGACAUGUACGGUGAAUUCAAAAUGAGACAUAAGUGAGUGUGUACUUGGAAAGAUGAAAAACUACACGAGUGAUGCUUAAAUAUUUACACUUGGUUAUAUUAAUAUCAA